CCUACGGGUGGCAGCAGUGGGGAAUAUUGGGCAAUGGGCGCAAGCCUGACCCAGCAACGCCGCGUGAAGGAAGAAGGCUUUCGGGUUUUAAACUUCUUUUCUCAGGGACGAAGCAUGUGCCGGUACCUGAGGACUAAGCCACGGCUAACUACGUGCUCGCAUCCGCGGUAAUACGUAGGUGGCAAGCGUUAUCCGUAUUUACUGGUUGUAAAGGGCGUUUAGUCGGGAAGGCAAGUCAGAUGUGAAAACCAUGGGCUCAACCUGUGGCCUGCAUUUGAAACUGUUUUUCGUGAGUACUGGAGAGGCAGACGGAAUUCCUAGUGUAGCGGUGAAAUGCGUAGAUAUUAGGAGGAACACCAGUGGCGAAGGCGGUCUGCUGGACAGCAACUGACGCUGAGGCGCGAAAGCGUGGGGAGCAAACAGGAUUAGAUACCCGUGUAGUC
rnacentral:rRNA from 1 species